UACGGGGGCUGCAAGCGUUAAUCGGAAUUACUGGGCGUAAAGCGUGCGCAGGCGGUUGUAUAAGUCAGAUGUGAAAUCCCCGGGCUCAACCUGGGAACUGCAUAUGAGACUGUACGGCUAGAGUUUGGCAGAGGGGGGUGGAAUUCCACGUGUAGCAGUGAAAUGCGUAGAGAUGUGGAGGAACACCGAUGGCGAAGGCAGCCCCCUGGGCCAAUACUGACGCUCAUGCACGAAAGCGUGGGGAGCAAACAGG
rnacentral:rRNA from 1 species